rnacentral:rRNA from 1 species
GAUGAACGCUGGCGGCGUGCCUAAUACAUGCAAGUCGAGCGAACAGACGAGGAGCUUGCUCCUCUGACGUUAGCGGCGGACGGGUGAGUAACACGUGGAUAACCUACCUAUAAGACUGGGAUAACUUCGGGAAACCGGAGCUAAUACCGGAUAAUAUAUUGAACCGCAUGGUUCAAUAGUGAAAGACGGUUUUGCUGUCACUUAUAGAUGGAUCCGCGCCGCAUUAGCUAGUUGGUAAGGUAACGGCUUACCAAGGCAACGAUGCGUAGCCGACCUGAGAGGGUGAUCGGCCACACUGGAACUGAGACGCGGUCCAGACUCCUACGGGAGGCAGCAGUAGGGAAUCUUCCGCAAUGGGCGAAAGCCUGACGGAGCAACGCCGCGUGAGUGAUGAAGGUCUUCGGAUCGUAAAACUCUGUUAUUAGGGAAGAACAAAUGUGUAAGUAACUAUGCACGUCCUGACGGUACCUAAUCAGAAAGCCACGGCUAACUACGUG